UAGGGAAUCUUCGGCAAUGGACGAAAGUCUGACCGAGCAACGCCGCGUGAGUGAAGAAGGUUUUCGGAUCGUAAAACUCUGUUGUCAGAGAAGAACAAGGACGUUAGUAACUGAACGUCCCCUGACGGUAUCUAACCAGAAAGCCACGGCUAACUACGUGCCAGCAGCCGCGGUAAUACGUAGGUGGCAAGCGUUGUUCGGAUUAAUUGGGCGUAAAGCGAGCGUAGGGGGUUUCUUAAGUCUGAUGUGAAAGCCCCCAGCUCAACCGGGGAGGGUCAUGGGAAACUGGGAGACUUGAGUGCAGAAGGUGAGAGUGGAAUUCCAUGUGUAGCGGUGAAAAGCGUAGAUAUAUGGAGGAACACCAGUGGCGAAGGCGGCUAACUGGUCUGUAACUGACGCUGAGGCUCGAAAGCGUGGGGAGCAAACAGG
rnacentral:rRNA from 1 species